UACAUACUCCCUCCGUUCCUAAUUACUUGUCGCAGGUAUGGAUGUAUCUAGAUGUAUUUUAGUUCUAGAUACAUCCAUUUCUGCGACAAUUAAUUUGGAACGGAGGGAGUAAAAC
rfam:Triticum aestivum genome assembly, contig: Triticum_aestivum_CS42_TGACv1_scaffold_197533_3AL